rnacentral:rRNA from 1 species
AGGGUGCGAGCGUUAAUCGGAAUUACUGGGCGUAAAGCGCACGUAGGCGGUUUGUUAAGCUAGAUGUGAAAGCCCAGGGCUCAACCUUGGAAUUGCAUUUAGAACUAGCAGGCUAGAGUUUUGAAGAGGGUGGUAGAAUUUCCAGUGUAGCGGUGAAAUGCGUAGAUAUUGGAAGGAAUAUCAGUGGCGAAGGCGGCCACCUGGUCAAAAACUGACGCUGAGGAGCGAAAGCGUGGGGAGCAA